rnacentral:rRNA from 1 species
GUAGUCCACGCCCUAAACGAUGCUCACUAGGCGUUGGGGAAGCGAUUCCUUGGUACCGUAGCUAACGCGUGAAGUGAGCCGCCUGGGGAGUACGGCCGCAAGGUUAAAACUCAAAGGAAUUGACGGGGACCCGCACAAGCGGUGGAUGAUGUGGAUUAAUUCGAUGCAACGCGAACAACCUUACCUACCCUUGACAUGUCUGGAAGGCUGCUGAAAGGCGGCUGUGCCCGAAAGGGAACCGGAACACAGGUGCUGCAUGGCUGUCGUCAGCUCGUGUCGUGAGAUGUUGGGUUAAGUCCCGCAACGAGCGCAACCCUUGUCCCUAGUUGCUACGCAAGGGCACUCUAGGGAGACUGCCGGUGACAAACCGGAGGAAGGUGGGGAUGACGUCAAGUCCUCAUGGCCCUUAUGGGUAGGGCUUCACACGUCAUACAAUGGUACAUACAGAGCGCCGCCAACCCGCGAGGGGGAGCUAAUCGCAGAAAGUGUAUCGUAGUCCGGAUUGUAGUCUGCAACUCGACUGCAUGAAGUUGGAAUCGCUAGUAAUCGCGGAUCAGCAUGUCGCGGUGAAUACGUUCCCGGGUCUUGUACACACCGCCCGUCACACCAUGGGAGCGGGUUUUACCAGAAGUAGGUAGCUUAACCGCAAGGAGGGCGCUUACCACGGUAGGAUUCGUGACUGGGGUG